rnacentral:piRNA from 1 species
UUGGAGCUGUAGAAUAGAAAAAGAAAGGGU